UCCCUGGUGGUUCAGUGGUUAAGAAUUUUCCUUGCAAUGUAAGGGACCCAGGUUCGAUCCCUGGUCAGGAAC
rnacentral:tRNA from 1 species